CAGCGAGGAAGUCCAGCACCAUGGAGAGCUCCCGCCUGCGGCUGCUACCCGUCCUGGGCGCCGCCCUACUGCUGCUGCUACCUUUGCUGGGUGCCGGUGCCCAGGAGGAUGCCGAGCUGCAGCCCCGAGCCCUGGACAUCUACUCUGCCGUGGAUGAUGCGUCCCAUGAGAAGGAGCUGAUUGAAGCGCUGCAGGAAGUCCUGAAGAAGCUCAAGAGUAAACGCAUUCCGAUCUAUGAGAAGAAGUACGGCCAAGUCCCCAUGUGUGACGCUGGAGAGCAGUGCGCAGUGCGGAAAGGGGCCAGGAUCGGGAAGCUGUGUGACUGUCCCCGAGGAACUUCUUGCAAUUCUUUCCUCUUGAAGUGCUUGUGAAGGGGUGACAGCCUCCUUCGGUUCCCAUAUUUCCUCUUUCCCCUAAAGGAGCGCUCUUUUGUCCCUGGAGCCGCUUUAACAACAAUAAAGUUUGCGUUCCCCCC
rnacentral:lncRNA from 1 species